rnacentral:rRNA from 1 species
UKWKWGAUCWGCUCAGGACGAACSCUGGCGGCGUKCCUAAUACAUKCAAACGUCGAGCGGACUYKAWGAGGWGYUYGCUYCUCUSAUGGUUAGCGGCGGACGGGUGAGUAACACGAGGCAACCUGCCCGUAAGACCGGGAUAGUACCGGAAACGURGCUAAUACCGGAUUAAUUUAUCGCUUCGCAUGGAGCGGUAAUGAAAGACGGAGCAAUCUGUCACUUACGGAUGGGCCUGAUUAGCUAGUUGGUGAGGUAACGGCUCACCAAGGCGACGAUGCGUAGCCGACCUGAGAGGGUGAACGGCCACACUGGGACUGAGACACGGCCCAGACUCCUACGGGAGGCAGCAGUAGGGAAUCUUCCGCAAUGGGCGAAAGCCUGACGGAGCAACGCCGCGUGAGUGAUGAAGGUUUUCGGAUCGUAAACUCUGUUGCCAGGGAAGAACGUCGGRUAGAGUAACUGCUAUCCGAGUGACGGUACCUGAGAAGAAAGCCCCGGCUAACUACGUGCCAGCAGCCGCGGUAAUACGUAGGGGGCAAGCGUUAACCGGAAUUAUUGGGCGUAAAGCGCGCGCAGGUCACUUAAGUCUGGUGUUUAAGGCUAGGGCUCAACUCUAGUUCGCACUGGAAACUGGGUGACUUGAGUGCAGAAGAGGAAAGUGGAAUUCCACGUGUAGCGGUGAAAUGGUAGAGAUGUGGAGGAACACCAGUGGCGAAGGCGACUUUCUGGGCUGUAACUGAUGAGGCGCGAAAGCGUGGGAGCAAACAGGAUUAGAUACCCUGGUAGUCCACGCCGUAAACRAWRAAKGSUAGGUGUUAGGGGUUUCGAUACCCUUGGUGCCGAAGUUAACACAUUAAGCAUCC